rnacentral:rRNA from 1 species
GUGUCAGCCGCCGCGGUAAUACGUAGGUGGCGAGCGUUGUCCGGAAUUACUGGGCGUAAAGGGUGCGUAGGCGGAUCUUUAAGUGGGAUGUGAAAUCCCGGGGCUCAACCCCGGAAUGGCAUUCCAAACUGGGGAUCUAGAGUGCAGGAGAGGAAAGCGGAAUUCCUAGUGUAGCGGUGAAAUGCGUAGAUAUUAGGAAGAACACCAGUGGCGAAGGCGGCUUUCUGGACUGUAACUGACGCUGAGGCACGAAAGCGUGGGGAGCAAACAGGAUUAGAUACCCUGGUAGUCCACGCUGUAAACGAUGAGUGCUAGGUGUAGGGGGUAUCGACACCCUCUGUGCCGCAGUAAACGCAAUAAGCACUCCGCCUGGGGAGUACGGUCGCAAGACUAAA